rnacentral:lncRNA from 1 species
CUCUCAGCUCCCUUCCCCGGCGUGACCCUCCGUCUUUCUCUUUGUCAGUUCUGACAUUUACUCAUUUUUUGUCUACAGAGAGUGGAUGAGAGCUCUCUGCCACUGUCCGGGAGGGCUGGGGCUGGGUGAGGUCUGGGGGCUGGGUGAGGUCUGAGGGCUGGCUGGCAGCUAGGAGGAGGGAGACAUGACGCUGACGGCCCUGCAUUGCUGCUUCCUCCAGCUGAAUCUACCACCCUGACUUGUGAGUGUCGAGGGCUUUCUGGGGAGCUGCUGGGACUAGAGAGGCGAGAUCAGCAGGUGGGUGGGCCUGGCCUCUCAGCUGGCCCAGGCCCUUCCUCUGCUCAAGCCCCCGGGAGGAGGUGAGACUCCACUCCAGGGGAGGGGCUCGGACACUGGACCAGAUUGAGGACUAGCUAAAACAGGGCCGAGGUGAAAGCAGCUUUCAGUCAGACCUGCCCACCAGUGUGCCAUGUCAGUUUACCAUUGCCAUGGCAACACCCUGGAGUUACCACCCCUUUCCGUGGCAACGACCCAAUGACUAUUACCCCAUCCCUAGAAAUUCCUGCACAAACCACCCCUUAAUCUGCAUGCCAUUAAAAAUGGGUAAAAACAUGACGGCAGAACUGUCCUGAGCUGCUGUUCCCUGCCUAUGGGGAAGCCCUGCCCUGCAGGAGCAGUCACGGAGCUGCGACACCACCAGAGCUGGGACACCACCAGAGCUGCGAGACCACCAGAGCUGUGACACCACCAGAGCCGGGACACCACCAGAGCCGGGACACCACCAGAGCCGGGACACCACCAGAGCUCCGAGACCACCAGAGCUGCCACACCACCAGAGCUGUGACACCACCAGAGCCGUGACACCACCAGAGCCGGGACACCACCAGAGCCGGGACACCACCAGAGCCGCGAGACCACCAGAGCCGUGACACCACCAGAGCCGGGACACCACCAGAGCUGGGACACCACCAGAGCUGCGAGACCACCAGAGCUGGGACACCACCAGAGCUGCCACACCACCAGAGCUGCGACAGCACCAGAGCCGGGACACCAGCAGAGCCGGGACACCACCAGAGCCGCAACACCACCAGAGCUGCGACACCAGCAGAGCCGCGACACCAGCAGAGCCGGGACACCACCAGAGCCGUGACACCAGCAGAGCCGGGACACCACCAGAGCUGCGAGACCACCAGGGCCGGGACACCACCAGGGCCGGGACACCACCAGAGCUGCGAGACCACCAGGGCCGGGACACCACCAGAGCCGGGACACCACCAGAGCUGCGAGACCACCAGGGCCGUGACACCACCAGAGCCGGGACACCACCAGAGCUGGGACACCACCAGAGCUGCGAGACCACCAGAGCUGGGACACCACCAGAGCUGCCACACCACCAGAGCUGCGACACCAGCAGAGCCGCGACACCAGCAGAGCCGGGACACCAGCAGAGCCGGGACACCACCAGAGCCGUGACACCAGCAGAGCCGGGACACCACCAGGGCCGGGACACCAGCAGAGCCGGGACACCACCAGAGCCGUGACACCAGCAGAGCCGGGACACCACCAGGGCCGGGACACCACCAGAGCUGCGAGACCACCAGGGCCGGGACACCACCAGAGCCGGGACACCACCAGAGCUGGGACACCACCAGAGCUGCGAGACCACCAGAGCCGUGACACCACCAGAGCCGUGACACCAGCAGAGCUGGGACACCACCAGAGCUGUGAGACCACCAGAGCCGGGACACCACCAGAGCCGGGACACCACCAGAGCUGCGAGACCACCAGAGCCGUGACACCAGCAGAGCCGGGACACCACCAGAGCCGGGACACCACCAGAGCCGGGACACCACCAGAGCUCCGAGACCACCAGAGCUGCCACACCACCAGAGCUGUGACACCACCAGAGCUGUGACACCACCAGAGCCGGGACACCACCAGAGCCGGGACACCACCAGAGCUGCGAGACCACCAGAGCUGGGACACCACCAGAGCUGGGACACCACCAGAGCCGGGACACCACCAGAGCUCCGAGACCACCAGAGCUGCCACACCACCAGAGCUGUGACACCACCAGAGCCGGGACACCACCAGAGCCGGGACACCACCAGAGCCGGGACACCACCAGAGCUGUGACACUGUGGCUUCAGUAAAGCUGUUUCUUCUACCACUGGCUUGCCCUUGCAUUCUUUC